AGCAGCGCUUCUCUGCCGAGCCCUCAGACGGAGCAUCGGGGAUGCAGCGCUGCGCUGCUUCUGGGGAUGUCUUGCUGCACGGGGAUGUGUCCUUUCCUCGCAUUGAAAAGCGCUGUGAGCGCUUGUAAGCCUGUAACUUCGAGGAAAGUUCACAAGGGACAAAAGCACACCAAGCGUUCUUUUCCCAAGUUCCCAGGUCGGCAGAAACACACAGAGCUCAGACGCCCCGGGUGCAGCCAUCCUGCUGGGACUGCCGUGUUGUGUUUCACACAGUUCUGCACUGCGCUCCCACGUUCACGUUUUGCCCCUGACGUGUCAGACAGCCGCCCCCCAGCCCUCACUUGUGCCAGUCCCCCACCUGCAGCAGGCCUUCCUGCUCAGCCACACGCAGAGCGGCAGGAGACGAAGAGGGACUGCAAUGUUUGAAUGGAAUCACUUUGGUUUCCUACGUGGGAUAAUUGCCUUCCUUUGAAAUCCAUUCAUAUCCAUUUCUGUUGCAGCGUUCCCAAAGUAGUGAGAAAUCGAUGUAUGAGAUGGAAUCCCAACACCACGUAAAUGCGUGGUCUGAGGCUGAAAGAUGAACCGUGGAUUGGAGCUUCAGCCUUUCUGCACAUUCCCAAAAGGGGGAGAUAAUUUCAGUCCAGUAAAUGUAAUUCGUGCCAAACAUGCUUGUAGCUCGAGGUUUCAUCAAUUAUCUAGGAUCUGAUAAAAAGAUAAUUGAAUUAUCCCGAGGCCUUUGACAGAUUUUGGAUUAGUCUGUUGGAAAAGGAGCCGCCGCUUGAAAAUUAAUUGCAAAAUAAAAGGUCUUCUUCAUCAGG